rnacentral:rRNA from 1 species
CGCGUAGGCGGCUUGUUAAGCUAGAUGUGAAAGCCCCGGGCUUAACCUGGGAACUGCAUUUAGAACUGGCAGGCUUGAGUACAGCAGAGGAUAGUGGAAUUUCUAGUGUAGCGGUGAAAUGCGUAGAUAUUAGAAGGAACACCAGUGGCGAAGGCGACUGUCUGGGCUGAUACUGACGCUGAGGUGCGAAAGCGUGGGGAGCAAACA